GACGAACGCUGGCGGCGUGCUUAACACAUGCAAGUCGAACGGAAAGGCCCUGCUUUUGUGGGGUGCUCGAGUGGCGAACGGGUGAGUAACACGUGAGUAACCUGCCCUUGACUUUGGGAUAACUUCAGGAAACUGGGGCUAAUACCGGAUAGGAGCUCCUGCUGCAUGGUGGGGGUUGGAAAGUUUCGGCGGUUGGGGAUGGACUCGCGGCUUAUCAGCUUGUUGGUGGGGUAGUGGCUUACCAAGGCUUUGACGGGUAGCCGGCCUGAGAGGGUGGACGGCCACAUUGGGACUGAGAUACGGCCCAGACUCCUACGGGAGGCAGCAGUGGGGAAUAUUGCACAAUGGGCGCAAGCCUGAUGCAGCGACGCCGCGUGGGGGAUGACGGCCUUCGGGUUGUAAACUCCUUUCGCUAGGGACGAAGCUUUUUGUGACGGUACCUAGAUAAGAAGCACCGGCUAACUACGUG
rnacentral:rRNA from 1 species